GAUGAAGAACGCAGCGAAAUGCGAUACGUAAUGUGAAUUGCAGAAUUCAGUGAAUCAUCGAGUCUUUGAACGCACAUUGCGCCCCCCGGUAUUCCGGGGGGCAUGCCUGUCCGAGCGUCAUUGCUGCCCUCAAGCACGGCUUGUGUGUUGGGCCUCCGUCCUCCUCCCGGGGGACGGGCCCGAAAGGCAGCGGCGGCACCGCGUCCGGUCCUCGAGCGUAUGGGGCUUCGUCACCCGCUCUUGUAGGCCCGGCCGGCGCUUGCCGACACAUCAAUCUUUUUCCCAGGUUGACCUCGGAUCAGGUAGGGAUACCCGCUGAACUUAAGCAUAUCAAUAAGCGGAGGA
rnacentral:misc_RNA from 1 species